UUUUUUCUAGCAUCAAUCUCAGUGUAUCAUCGAAAUUUUCAUUGCUUUUAAAUUUUUUUAUUUAUGAAAAAAUGAUAUCAACCUUGAAAUCUACUAUAGUGUGAUCGUUGUUUUGUUCUUUUAGGAGAUAACUUCUCCGUUUCAUCAAAACACAUACUAAACCUAACAUUUUACCAAGUUCUACGUGAGACAAGAAUCUACUAAGAUUUUUGAAUAAAUCACAAGAUUAUGUACAGGGGCGGAUCUAGG
rnacentral:lncRNA from 1 species